GAUGAACGCUAGCGGCAGGCCUAACACAUGCAAGUCGAGGGGUAGAGGCUUUCGGGUCUUGAGACCGGCGCACGGGUGCGUAACGCGUAUGCAAUCUGCCUUGUACUGAGGGAUAGCCCAGAGAAAUUUGGAUUAACACCUCAUAGUAUUUUAGUGUGGCAUCACAUCAUUAUUAAAGGUUACGGUACAAGAUGAGCAUGCGUCCCAUUAGCUAGUUGGUAUGGUAACGGCAUACCAAGGCUACGAUGGGUAGGGGUCCUGAGAGGGAGAUCCCCCACACUGGUACUGAGACACGGACCAGACUCCUACGGGAGGCAGCAGUGGGGAAUAUUGGUCAAUGGUCGCAAGACUGAACCAGCCAUGCCGCGUGCAGGAUGAAGCAUCUAUGGUGUGUAAACUGCUUUUGUACGGGAAGAAACACCGCUACGUGUAGCGGCUUGACGGUACCGUAAGAAUAAGGAUCGGCUAACUCCGUGCCAGCAGCCGCGGUAACAC
rnacentral:rRNA from 1 species